UGAGUAACACGUAUCCAACCUGCCGUCUACUCUUGGACAGCCUUCUGAAAGGAAGAUUAAUCCAGGAUGGCAUCAUGAGUUCACAUGUCCGCAUGAUUAAAGGUAUUUUCCGGUAGACGAUGGGGAUGCGUUCCAUUAGAUAGUAGGCGGGGUAACGGCCCACCUAGUCAACGAUGGAUAGGGGUUCUGAGAGGAAGGUCCCCCACAUUGGAACUGAGACACGGUCCAA
rnacentral:rRNA from 1 species